GGUGGGGCGGGCGCUCUGCCCACGACGCGCCGAGGCCGCGGUGGGUCCUGGGAAGGAGAGCUGUCUGAGGCCCGCGGCCUGGUCGCGGUCGGUCUCUGAGGCUCCGGAAGGCCCAGUUUGCGACGCUGGCUCGGGGUCCCCGUCGCAGAGCCGAGAGCCUUGCUUGCGCGGGCCGAGGUAGGGGAAGGGCCCGCCCUACCCGAGCCUGUCCCCGCCGGGGCCCGGGGGGCCGGGAACGGUGGCCCUGCCCCGAGCUCGGGAAGACUCGGUUGCCCGGCCAGCAGCGCGGAGGAGACGCCCCAGCUGCGGCUCCGUUGAAGGCGGCGGCGCUGGGGGCGUGGGUCGGGCCCAGGCUCGGGGCCCCCGCCGCGGCGGGGAGGGAGCUGGCGCGGGCGUCCCUGACCCUCGUGACGAGGGCGGUGGAUGCGGAGCCCGGGCGCCGGCCCGCGCGUCAGCUCGUCGCUCUCCCCGCCAGCUCCGCCUUCCACGCUCGGUUCUCCGCGGGCCCUGCCGUGAGCCAUGUCUCGGGGGUCAGUGACAUUCAGAGAUGUGGCUGUAGACUUCUCCCGGGAGGAGUGGGAAUGGCUCCAGCCUGCUCAAAGAGAUUUGUACAGACAUGUAAUGUUGGAGAACUAUGGCCACCUGGUCUCACUGGCAGGUCUUAACAUUUCUAAGCCAGAUGUGGUUUCCUUACUGGAGCAAGGGAAAGAGCCCUGGCUGGGGAAAGAUGCGAGCAGAGGUCUGUUUUCAGCUUCAGAGUCAAAUGGUGAGAUCAAAGAGUUUUCUCCAAAAAAUGUCAUAUAUGAAGAUGAUUCAUCCCAGUAUUUGAUAAUGGAAAGAUUUCUAAGCCAAGGCCUUGAGUAUUCCAGUUUUAAAGAAGGCUGGAAAUGUGAGGGUGAUACUGAGAUGCUGCAGGGAAAUCAGGGAUAUAUCAGGCAAGUGACAGUUUCCCAUCAAGAAGCCCUGUCUCAACAUAUGAAUGUUAGUACUGUGGAGAGACCCUAUGGAUGCCAUGAAUGUGGAAAAACUUUCAGUCGGCGCUUUUCCCUUGUGUUACAUCAGAGAACUCAUACUGGAGAGAAACCAUAUGUAUGUAAGGAAUGUGGGAAAACCUUUAGCCAGAUCUCAAACCUCGUAAAACAUCAGAUGAUACAUACGGGAAAGAAACCCCAUGAGUGUAAAGACUGUAAUAAAACAUUCAGUUACCUUUCAUUCCUCAUUGAACAUCAGAGAACACAUACUGGGGAGAAACCCUAUGAAUGUACCGAAUGUGGAAAGGCCUUUAGCCGUGCCUCAAACCUCACUCGACAUCAGAGAAUUCACAUAGGAAAGAAACAGUAUGUAUGUAGGAGAUGUGGGAAGGCCUUUAGCAGUGGCUCUGAACUCAUUCGCCAUCAGAUUACACACACUGGAGAGAAACCUUAUGAAUGCAUUGAGUGUGGGAAGGCAUUUCGCCGUUCUUCACACCUUACCCGGCAUCAGAGUGUCCAUACCUCUAAAACCCCCUAUGAAUGUAACGAAUGCAGUAAAGCCUUCCGUUGCCACUCAUUCCUUAUUAAACAUCAGAGAAUUCAUGCUGGAGAAAAGCUCUAUGAAUGUGAUGAAUGUGGUAAAGUUUUCACGUGGCAUGCAUCCCUUGCACAACAUAUGAAGAUUCAUACUGGAGAAAAGCCCUAUGCAUGUACUGAAUGUGACAAAACCUUUAGUCGGAGCUUUUCCCUCAUUCUACAUCAGAUAACUCACACUGGGGAGAAGCCCUAUGUAUGUAAGGUAUGCAAUAAAUCCUUCAGCUGGAGCUCAAACCUUGCUAAACAUCAGAGAACACACACACUAGAGAAUCCCUAUGAAUAUGAAAAUUCAUUUAACUACCAUUCAUUCCUUGCUGAACACCAGGGAAUUCACACUGUAGAGAAAACCUAAGAAUGUAUGGAUUAAAAAAAAAAAAAGCAGCUAAUGCCUUACUUCAGAGAACUCUUGGAAAGAAGCCUUAUGUGAAUGUGUUGAUUGUGAUGAAAUGUGGUCUCUGCUUUAUUCAGUAUUCUGGAGAAAAACCCAAGGAAUGUAUGGGAAAGCCAUUAAUAGCUGCUCAUUCUUUUUGUAAUACCAGAAGAUGAAAUCAAACAAUACUGAGAAGACUCUUCAUCUGUAAGCAGGACUUUUAUUUCUGAAGCAAAUGUGACCUCCUUAAUGGAGCAAGGGAAAGUGAAGAAUGAUGGAGAAAAAAGUGGGAAGAGGCCUAUGAUCAGGAGGCCCUACCGGUAACCUGGGGGGAAUUUCACAUGCCUAGAGUCUUCUCCAGUAAAACCUUUGACCAGUCUUUCAUCCAUCUUACUCUUGGCAGAUAAUCUUAGCAUGAAACCUACAGUGUCAUGUCUAUAUCCUGUUGGCCAAGAACAGGGGGGAUGACUAAUCUUGGCCAUGGAGCCUGCCUGGGAUAAAGAGUUUUGUGACUGGACACACUGCUACUCUAAGCAAAACUGAGGUACUAUUAGUAAAGGAGAAGGAGGAAACAUGUAUUAGGUUAGCAACUAGCAGUAUCUGCCACACUGGGCCAGAACAUAGCUCUUAAAAAACCAAACAGGGACUUCCCUAGUGGCGCAGCGGUUAAGAACCCGCCUGCCAAUGCAGGGGACAUGAGUUCGAGCCCUGGUCCAGGAAGAUCCCACAUGCCGUGGAGCAACUACUGAGCCUGCACUCUAGAGCCUGCGAGCCACAACUAUCGAAGCCUGCGCACCUAGAGCCUGUGCUCCGCAACAAAGGAAGCCACUGCAAUGAGAAGCCCACGCGCCGCAACGUAGAGUGGCCCCUGCUUGCUGCAACUAGAGAAAGCCCGCGCGCAGCAACAAAAGACCCAAUGCAGCCAAAAAUAAAUAAAUAAAUAACUUAUAUUUUUAAAAAAAGAAACCAAACAAGCAGUAUUGUAUAGCUCAGAUACUCUUAGCUCAAGUAACUUAGAUAUAAGUAAAUAAAGAGGUAAUUAAAACCAACCCACACAGUCCUCCUUUCCUUCUGAGAGAAUGGUGGAAGUAUCCCUUCUUGCAGCAAACAUCAGUCCUUCUAUUUGUGCUCCAGAUACCUCCAUCCCCUUCUCAGGAACUUUAUGGUACUGACUGGCCCUCUUCUUAUGCCUGCACAUUUAAUCUCUCCAUACUGGAUACAUCACAUUAGGAUUUAAACAUGUUCUAGUUUUUCAUUAUUUAAAAAAUAUUUUCCCUUAACCAAAUCUCUCUCCAGCUACUUCCCCAUCUUUCUCCUACUAUUCAAUCUUGUCUAUAUUCACUCUUUACUUCCUCGUCCUUUAUUAUGAAACUCAUCCUAACCUACCACCAAUCCUCAACAUACUAUUAUCUCCACCUAAGGUCAACAAUAACCUUCACAUUGCCAUACAUUUGCUUUUGAAGACUUCAUCUAAUUUGACCUCAUAGUAGCAUUUAAACAACCUAUUUUACCUUCCUUCUUCAAACACUAAUUUGUCUUGGUUUAGUAAAACUCCAUUUUUACUUUAAAUAUAGGAGGUCUCCAUGGUCAGUGGUAGACAUUCUCUUUUCACACCAUCCAUUUUCCCUAUACAAUCUUACUCACCUCCACAAAACCCAGUACAGUCUAUCUCCUGAUGUUGCUAAAAUUAUAUCUCUGUCCUAGACACCUCUUCAGGUUCAGAACUACACAUCAGCCCGUUCAUCUAGAUAUUGCACAACUCUAUAAACAGGACUAAAACUGCGACUAUUGCCUUUUUCUUCCAUCAUAGUUUCCUCCUUCCAUAUUUUGUUUCUUAAUAAAUUAGAGCUAAUCUGGUCAGUAUCUGUAAAACCAAGCAGCAAAAUCUCAAAGGCUUCAUUCAGCAUUUAAAAUUGGUAACUUCCCCUCUACUUGAUUGAAGACUCUGGUUUUCUCAUGCUGAAAUGUUGGGAUUUCCCUCCUGCUUCUCUGACACCUGCUUUCAAUGACCUCAGCUCCAUCCUCUCUAGCCUAAGCACAAAAGUUCUAUCAAUAUUCCUCUUCCAUUCCUCCCUUUUCUAUGUUCUUAUCCAAAUUUGUACAUCCAACAU